rnacentral:rRNA from 1 species
GAUGAACGCUGGCGGCGUGCCUAAUACAUGCAAGUCGAGCGAACAGACGAGGAGCUUGCUCCUCUGACGUUAGCGGCGGACGGGUGAGUAACACGUGGAUAACCUACCUAUAAGACUGGGAUAACUUCGGGAAACCGGAGCUAUACCGGAUAAUAUAUUGAACCGCAUGGUUCAAUAGUGAAAGACGGUUUUGCUGUCACUUAUAGAUGGAUCCGCGCCGCAUUAGCUAGUUGGUAAGGUAACGGCUUACCAAGGCAACGAUGCGUAGCCGACCUGAGAGGGUGAUCGGCCACACUGGAACUGAGACACGGUCCAGACUCCUACGGGAGGCAGCAGUAGGGAAUCUUCCGCAAUGGGCGAAAGCUUGACGGAGCAACGCCGCGUGAGUGAUGAAGGUCUUCGGAUCGUAAAACUCUGUUAUUAGGGAAGAACAAAUGUGUAAGUAACUAUGCACGUCUUGACGGUACCUAAUCAGAAAGCCACGGCUAACUACGUG